UAAGGAAUAUUGGUCAAUGGAGGCAACUCUGAACCAGCCAUGCCGCGUGAAGGAUUAAGGCCCUCUGGGUUGUAAACUUCUUUUAUAUUGGAAGAAAUGUUCUGAUUCUUCAGAGCUUGACGGUACCAUAGGAAUAAGCACCGGCUAACUCCGUGCCAGCAGCCGCGGUAAUACGGAGGGUGCAAGCGUUAUCCGGAUUCACUGGGUUUAAAGGGUGCGUAGGUGGGCAGAUAAGUCAGUGGUGAAAUCUUCCGGCUUAACCGGAAAAUUGCCGUUGAUACUAUUUGUCUUGAAUAUUGUGGAGGUAAGCGGAAUAUGUCAUGUAGCGGUGAAAUGCUUAGAUAUGACAUGGAACACCAAUUGCGAAGGCAGCUUACUACACAAUGAUUGACGCUGAUGCACGAAAGCGUGGGGAGCGAACA
rnacentral:rRNA from 1 species